rnacentral:rRNA from 1 species
UACGUAGGGUGCGAGCGUUGUCCGGAAUUAUUGGGCGUAAAGGGCUCGUAGGCGGUCUGUUACGUCGGGAGUGAAAACUCGGGGCUCAACCCCGAGCCUGCUUCCGAUACGGGCAGACUAGAGGUAUGCAGGAGAGAAUGGAAUUCCUGGUGUAGCGGUGAAAUGCGCAGAUAUCAGGAGGAGCACCGGUGGCGAAGGCGGUUCUCUGGGCCGUAACUGACGCUGAGGAGCGAAAGCGUGGGGAGCGAACAGG